rnacentral:rRNA from 1 species
AACGAACGCUGGCGGCAUGCCUAACACAUGCAAGUCGAACGAGACCUUCGGGUCUAGUGGCGCACGGGUGCGUAACGCGUGGGAACCUGCCCUUAGGUUCGGAAUAACUCCCCGAAAGGGGUGCUAAUACCGGAUAAUGUCUUCGGACCAAAGAUUUAUCGCCUUUGGAUGGGCCCGCGUUGGAUUAGCUAGUUGGUAGGGUAAAAGCCUACCAAGGCGACGAUCCAUAGCUGGUCUGAGAGGAUGAUCAGCCACACUGGGACUGAGACACGGCCCAGACUCCUACGGGAGGCAGCAGUGGGGAAUAUUGGACAAUGGGCGAAGGCCUGAUCCAGCAAUGCCGCGUGAGUGAUGAAGGCCUUGGGUUGUAAAGCUCUUUUAACCGGGAUGAUAAUGACAGUACCGGGAGAAUAAGCUCCGGCUAACUCCGUG